rnacentral:misc_RNA from 1 species
GAUGAAGAGCGCAGCGAAAUGCGAUAAGUAAUGUGAAUUGCAGAAUUCAGUGAAUCAUCGAAUCUUUGAACGCACAUUGCGCCCACUAGUAUUCUGGUGGGCAUGCCUGUUCGAGCGUCAUUUCAACCCUCAAGCCUUAGUUGCUUGGUGUUGGGAGCUUAUCUUGCCGAAAGGCGGACAACUCCUUAAAACUAUUGGCGGAGUCGCGGUGACCCCAAGCGUAGUAAAUUUUUUUUUUCUCGCUUUAGGUGUUAACGCUGGCUUUCUAGCCGUUAAACCCUCUAAAUUUUUAGUGGUUGACCUCGGAUCAGGUAGGACUACCCGCUGAACUUAAGCAUAUCAAUAAGCGGAGGA